GUUGUUGUCCCCGCCCACUCGGGGGGCCGCCCCAAAGGCCCACUGGACAGGGUCCCCUCUGGGUCCCUCUCGGGAGCCUCGCUUCCGGUGCCCACCCAGUGAUCCACGCACCGGCCCCGCCCACCCAGGACUUCCGGUUUUCACGCCUUCGACCCUUGAGCCGAGCGCUUCUGGCGUCUCCCGAAGUCCGUGCGGUUUUUAGCCUGCUGGCUUUCACGUGUAUUAUUAGUUAAGCCUCCCUCGCCUCCACCCGGUGUUACGGCUGCAGUUUUCUGGCAGCUCUCGAGUCCCAUUCCUGGGGCAAAUUAAUCUGCAGAUUAAGCGAGCCUGGUGUGACUGGUGAUCAGUGAGCUCCCCUUCCUGGGAAAGAUGCCCUUCGCAAAGUGGGCACCUGUUACACCGUCGGGGGUCACAGGUGCCGAUGGGAGAUGGACUGUGAAGGGCCGAGUCUUACUAAAACUCUUGACGCAGGGGCUCAGGCGACAAAGGUGGAAGCAGUCUUCGAAUGGAGUCGGCACACCUGCCUCGUCUUGCUUUGCGCGAAUUCUUUCUUCCUGAGGACGUUUCCUCUAGGACCAGGGUGAACUUUGAGGGUCUCCACUGCAACUGAGGCUGCACCCGCAACAAUGGCCUUUUUCAGGGACUUCAGUCCCGCCACAACAUCAGCUGCUCUUCAUGACUUCGGGCUCUCAAAAUGGACACCAUCUGGUUGAAUCUCACACAUUGUCAAGAUUGGCUGACAACAUGAGAUGCAGCCUUGGCCACUCUGGAUCACAGCUUCUCUGUGCUGACCCUGAGGAAAUAGUCACAGAAGAUUUUACCUCAAUGAUUCUGGUCUCUUCUCUUCUCCUUCCUUCCUUCCUUCCUUCCUUCCUUCCUUCCUUCCUUUCGGGUGUUGUUCUGUUUUUGUUUUUGGAAUUAAAGGCAUGUGCCACCAA